UAGGUGGGGGGGGCAAUUCAUGCAAGCCUGAGCGACAGAUAGGAGCUGCUCUUGACGUAGCGGCGGAGGGGGGCCGGGGGUACUCCUUAGACGGGAACUUAAGAGAAGGAGCUAUCCGGAUAACAUUUGGAACCGCAUGGUUCUAAAGUGAAAGAUGGUUUUGCUAUCACUUUUUCAUUGGACCCGCGCCGUAUUAGCUAGUUGGUAAGGUAACGGCUUACCAAGGCGACGAUACGUAGCCGACCUGAGAGGGUGAUCGGCCACACUGGAACUGAGACACGGUCCAGACUCCUACGGGAGGCAGCAGUAGGGAAUCUUCCGCAAUGGGCGAAAGCCUGACGGAGCAACGCCGCGUGAGUGAUGAAGGGUUUCGGCUCGUAAAACUCUGUUAUUAGGGAAGAACAAACGUGUAAGUAACUUGUGCACGUCUUGACGGUACCUAAUCAGAAAGCCACGGCUAACUACGUGCCAGCAGCCGCGGUAAUACGUAGGUGGCAAGCGUUAUCCGGAAUUAUUGGGCGUAAAGCGCGCGUAGGCGGUUUCUUAAGUCUGAUGUGAAAGCCCACGGCUCAACCGUGGAGGGUCAUUGGAAACUGGGAAACUUGAGUGCAGAAGAGGAAAGUGGAAUUCCAUGUGUAGCGGUGAAAUGCGCAGAGAUAUGGAGGAACACCAGUGGCGAAGGCGACUUUCUGGUCUGUAACUGACGCUGAUGUGCGAAAGCGUGGGGAUCAAACAGGAUUAGAUACCCUGGUAGUCCACGCCGUAAACGAUGAGUGCUAAGUGUUAGGGGGUUUCCGCCCCUUAGUGCUGCAGCUAACGCAUUAAGCACUCCGCCCUGGGGGAGUAACGACCCGCAAGGGUUUGAAACCUCAAAGGAAAUUUGACGGGACCCCGCACAGCCGGCUGAAGCAUGUUGGGCUUUUAAAUUUCUGCAAAAGGCCCA
rnacentral:rRNA from 1 species